rnacentral:lncRNA from 1 species
AAAAAAUCUUUUGUUGUAAUAGAUAAUAGUAUAUCCGAUUCUUCUGGACUUCGAUUAUCGAUUACAGAAUCAUCUAUAUACAAAUGAAAAUCACUAAAUUAAUAAUAUGUAUAGUGGAAGCGACUAAAGAUUCUUUCUGCAAUAGAUAUCAACAUGGUAACUAAAAUUCAUGAAUGAAAGUUUAGUCAUGAAAAUUACCUCUCUGAAUAACCUGAUUGACAUGUCCUAAGUCGCAUGCUUCGUAGAGCUCUUCCACAUUUUUUGUCCGAACGAGUUCGAUUAUAUCAUUGAGAUCUGCUAAACCUUCAUCUUCAAUUUCUGUAUUCAUGCUUUACACUUGCGAUGGAAACGAGUUGGAAGCCAGAGGGGAGAUGAAGGGUUUAUGUAAAGAAAUUAGGUAAGCCUGUUUGUUUGAUAUUAAAUCAUCCGUAUACUCUAGA